GGAUCACGUUGUUGUUGUCAGCGUAGAAGAGUACAGAGAUGGGACUGAGCUUGGUGGUUGUGCAGCACGCUUUGGGAACCUCAUCCGGCUUCAGAAGGUGAACCUGCCAUUGAAAACGGGUUGGGAGGAGGACAUGCUGCCUGAGGAGAGGGAGGUUCCUCUGGUAAACCUCUACCUUACCACCAAGAGAGUGGAGGACAUCGCCCUGAGGCUCGUCUCCCUGCGCCAGGCCUUCACUACCCUGCUUGGUUCCACCCUGAGCAGGAACCAUCUGUUUGUGG